GUUAAUAUAGUUUCAAAUAAAACAUUAGAUUGUGGAUCUAAAAAUAGAAGUUAAAGCCUCCUUAUAAACC
rnacentral:tRNA from 1 species